GUCCAACAAAUAUGGAAAAAUGUGAAGGAGCCAUUGGAAUGGCAUCUGGUUGGCCAGCGUGACAUGCCACAGAGGGGAUGGAUGUUACGUUAUUGAAGGCAAUAUGACAGUUUGUCCUGAUAUUUGAAAGAUGGGAGAUCGUGUAUUUCAUUCCUAAGCUGAAGGCUUCCUGAGCUGUAGAACAUCAGUGUCUCUGCCCAACUAUAGAGUGGCAUAGCAGUGAGAUCAUAUUUGGAAGAAGCUGAUAUGUGUUCCCAGGAGUUUCACAUCUUCUUCCUGUUGGGGAGGUUGGCAGGAGAGACCCAUAAGACCCUAGUGAGGAGAUCUGGAAACACUUUGUCUCUCGAGUGGACUUGGAGCCAAAUGAGGAUCUCCAUAGGAAUGGAAGAAACCACACAUGCUGCUCCAGGAACCCCGUUUGCCAGAUCACAUUGCUUUACUUUGGAUUUCUACCACUUGAUCGAGGGGCAGUCCAAAGACCCGAGACCCAUCGUGGUGCUGCAGAUUGCUGAGUGUUGCCAGGGAAAUAUAUCCUCUUAUAUCUUUGCCAGGUAA
rnacentral:lncRNA from 1 species